CCUACGGGCGGCUGCAGUGAGGAAUAUUGGGCAAUGGACGAGAGUCUGAACCAGCCAAGUAGCGUGAAGGAUGACUGCCCUAUGGUUUGUAAACUUCUUUUAUAUGGGAAUAAAAUGUUCCACGUGUGUGAUUUUGUAUGUACCAUAUGAAUAAGGAUCGGCUAACUCCGUGCCAGCAGCCGCGGUAAUACGGAGGAUCCGAGCGUUAUCCGGAUUUAUUGGGUUUAAAGGGAGCGUAGGUGGAUUGUUAAGUCAGUUGUGAAAGUUUGCGGCUCAACCGUAAAAUUGCAGUUGAAACUGGGAGUCUUGAGUACAGAAGAGGAGAGCGGAAUUCGUGGUGUAGCGGUGAAAUGCUUAGAUAUCACGAAGAACUCCGAUGGCGAAGGCAGCUCACUGGACUGCAACUGACACUGAGGCUCGAAAGUGUGGGUAUCAAACAGGAUUAGAUACCCUUGUAGUC
rnacentral:rRNA from 1 species